CGCUCCGCACGCACCGCCCGGCCCGCCGCCAUCGGCCCCGCCGACACCGCCCCCACGGCUGGGCGGGACUGCGGGCAGGGCGCGGCCUACCGGGGAGCUCAGCUGGCGUCUGAUAGUGGCCCCGAGUUGCUGUGUGAGGUGCUGGGAGCGGAGCGAUUCGCUUUCAGGUGAGGCGGGGUGGAACCACACGGGAAUCGUUUCGAUUUCUGUUACGAACGCCUUGUUUUGUGACGUGCUGUCAUGGUUUGGUGUGGAAAUGCUCAAAAUCUAGCCAUGGUGGGACUUUAGGGCACAGGUAACUGCAGAAGACGGGAAAUACAAAAGAGCACCGAAAGGCUUCUGGAUCUACAGGCGGGAGCAAAAGUAGCUGGGUUUCCAAACGCUGGGAGAUCAGUCUAUUGUUUUCUGUGAAAUGGAGAAAUGCCUUUGAUCAUCACUGCUACCUCUCUUUCUCAGAAAGAUGUGAGGACUGGGACUUGCGGAUACAGAUCAUUCUCCUGGUUUGAUUUUCACUGUCACUGAUCACCCACAAACUAUACUCUUAAAAAAAUCAGCUGAAGUGUGCAACAGAAGAUGAUAACCAUUUCAAGCUUGUGGUUUAGAGCACACCACAACAAUGGAACCGUAAGCAAAUUAAAUAUAAGGGGACUUCAUAGAAUCAUAUAGAAUGGCCUGGGUUGGAAGGAACCUCAUGCAUCUCCAACCACCUUCCCCUCCCACUGGCAGGGCCACCAACCUCCACAUUUAAUACUAGACCAGAGCCCCAUCCAACCUGGCCUUGAACACCUCCAGGGAUGGGGCAUCCACAGCCUCUCUGGGCAGCCUGUUCCAGCACCUCACCACUCAUAAUAAAGAACUUGGCCCUGACAUCCAACCUAAAUCUUCCAUCCUUCAACUUAAAACCAUUUCCCCUUGUCCUAUUAUCUACCCUUUCAAAUAAUUGACUUCCCUACGUUGGCUUAAACAUCAGAAAAAUAAAAUAAAAUAAAAUAAAAUAAAAUAAAAUAAAAUAAAAUAAAAUAAAAUAAAAUAAAAUAAAAUAAAAUAAAAUAAAAUAAAAAAGAGUAGCAACUUGAUUUUUUUCAAGACCUUUUUAUUGUCCCCGUUGACUUAGCUAAUAACUGUAACUUAGUUAACUAUAGCCAGUAACUACAUAGGAACAAAUCUAAAAUUAACGAUUUGUUUAAUUGCAAGUAACAAGUAUCUUCAACAAAUGUGAAAACUAAAUGCCCCUCCCAGUCCAUUUUGUUCUCAUAUCUUGAAUGGCAGUGGGUUUGCAGUGUGGUUUCUGGUUGUUAUGGGCUGCAAGGAGUGUUCCUGAUCUCUCCAUCUGAGCAUCUGUCUCUAGAUGAGUAAUAACAACUAUCCCUGCAGCUCACUGGUUAUGCCACUACUGGCCGAGUCCUUUUGCUUACUAAGAGCUCUGGGUAGGGGGAAUGUUGAAAUGUGAAAAAUAUGUAACUAGACUUUGCAUAGAGAUGAAUAAGAAAUGUCAGUUGUCAGAUGGGAUUUAUUGGCUUUGAGUGCAUCCACUGAAUCAACAGAGCCAAAGUUUAAAGUUCUCAUGAAGAAAUCCUGGCCUAAGUAAAGGCAGUGGGAAUGUUGCCGAGGCAGAAUUUAAUCCGAGCCCCUCCCACCCUUUUAAGGGCUGUAUAAUCUUAAUAAAUUCUUCCUGUUCUUCUCAGGUCACUAGAAUCCUAUGCAUUAUCUUUAAAUUUACAUACCAAACUCUGAGCCAGGCCCGGCUUGGCAUAACUCCCGUAUAGCACUAGAUGCUUCUCCUUAGUUCUGCCUGAAUAGCAACAGAAGGUGCUGAUCUUUGUCUAUGGGCUUUUCUGGAAGGUUCAGGGUAUGCUGAACAUGGAGCCCAUCAGGAUAUCCUGAGAGGCUUUUGCCAGAAGAGAGUUCACAACAGAAGCUUUCUGAGCUGAGCCACACUUGCAAGUCAGGUUUAGCAUAGGAUCCUGAUUAAAAGAUCUUCCAGAAGCCUGUUCAUGUAAACCUCAUACAGAACCAAUACACGGAAGAGAUUCACAUUUUCAAACUGGACUAAAACAAAUGGAUGAAAUGCAAAUACUACAACAGGAAAUUAUAGAUAUAUAUGUAUAGAAAUAUAGAUAUAUCUUUUUAUAAUAAUCAACUGUUUGCUGUUUUUC